GACGAACGCUGGCGGUGUGCCUAACACAUGCAAGUCGAACGGCAGCACAGUAUUAGCUUUCCCUGACUGGUGGCGAGUUGCGUACGGGGUAGGUAUACUGCGGUAUCUUUUGUGUCGAGUUCGGGAACGUGGGGCAACUUACGGAUAUACCUCAUACGUGCUACGGGUGGAAUCAAGAGAUCUGCGGGUCUUGCGCGAUUUCAGGGGUCGAUGUCGGAUUGGGUAGUUGGCGGGUUAAAGGGCCAGUAAGGGGACGAUCCGUAGCUGGUGUGACAGGAUGAUGAGCCACAGUGGAACGGAGACACGGUACAGACUCCUACGGGAGGCACCAGUGGGGAAUAUUGGACAAUGGGCGCAAGCUUGAUCCAGCGAUACCGCGUGGGUGCAGAAGGCCUUCGGGUUGUAAAGCCGUUUUGUUGGUAAAGACAAGCAGCAGGUUAAUACCCCGCUGUUCUGACGGUACCCAAAGAAUAAGCACCGGCUAACUUCGUG
rnacentral:rRNA from 1 species